rnacentral:rRNA from 1 species
UACGGGGGGGGCAAGCGUUGUUCGGAAUUACUGGGCGUAAAGGGCUCGUAGGUGGCCAACUAAGUCAGACGUGAAAUCCCCAGGCUCAACCUGGGAAUGGCAUCCGAUACGGCGGGGCUGGAGUGUGGGAGAGGUUGGUGGAAUUCCCAGUGUAGAGGUGAAAUUCGUAGAUAUUGGGAAGAACACCGGUGGCGAAGGCGGCCAACUGGACCACAACUGACGCUGAGGCGCGAAAGCGUGGGGAGCAAACAGG